CAAACAUGCAUGCAUGAACAACAGUUGAAUUUUAACCCUAACACUAAAGCAUCAGGCGGGUAUGUAAUAGUAUUUAAGGCCAGUUUACUGUGAUCUCCAACAAUUAUUCAUUUUUGGCCAAAGAAAAAAGAAGUACGAAGGGCUUAAUUUUAAAGGUUUUAAUCUGUGGUUGCGACACCAGUUUUGUCUCCAGUUAUUUUGUCUCUUGAAUAUGUUGUAUUUCUUUGCCUCUUGUUCAUUUGUUCGUGUGUUGUUUUUCUUUCUUUCUUGGUUAAUUUUAAAACUGAAGGGUGUAGAUGAAAAACCCAUGUCAGACAAUAAUUCUCAAAGAAAAUAUGAUGUUUUCAUUUGUUUUAGGGGUGCAGACAUUCGCCGUGGCAUUCUUAGUCAUAUGAUAGAAAGUUUUGAAAGGAACAAAAUAAAUGCAUUUGUAGAUGAUAAACUUGAGAGAGGGAAUGAAAUAUGGCCAUCGCUUGUUCGAGCAAUUGAAGGAUCAUUCAUUUCAUUGAUAAUAUUCUCACAGGACUAUGCUUCGUCUAGCUGGUGUUUAGAUGAACUUGUAACAAUACUUGAAUGCAGAGAGAAAUAUGGACAGAUUGUAAUCCCUGUUUACUAUCAUGUAAAUCCCACACAUGUACGACGUCAAUUGGAGAGUUAUGAAAUUGCAUUUGUUGAUCAUGAUAAGGUUCGGAUUUGGAGACGUGCUUUGAAUAAAUCUACUCAUCUGUGCGGAGUUGAAUCAUCGAAAUUUCGAAACGAUGCCGAGUUGCUUAAAGAAAUUGUCAAUCUUGUGAUGAUGAAGCUGGGUAAACCCUUGGUCAACUCAAAAGGACUCAUUGGGAUCAAAUCGAGAUUAUAAUAGUGGAUCACUAAGGCUAGAUGAUGCAAUUCAAAUUCUAGAGUACGUUGUUAGCAUGAGGGAGGAGAAGCUAGGGACAGAAAAUCCUGAAGUGGAUGAUGAGAAGAGAAGUUUUCUUUAUCGGCAAAGAUUAGUUUGUUAGUUUUAUUAAAAUUGUCGGUUGGGGAGUUCAAACUCACCACUUUUAUCUUUCUUUCUUCCUUUAUCCUUUCUUAAUCACUUAAUCAAUCUUAUAUAUCUGAUAACAAGAAAAGGUUAGCUGAAUUGUUGAAGGAAGUAGGGAGAGUUGUGGAGCAGAAAAGCCGGGUCACUUGAGAACCUAGCUUCUUGAUGGCAAUAUUCACGCUGUAAACAACGUUGUCAUCAAGGCCUGAUGACGAUGUCUAUCAAUGAUUCAUGAAAGAAAAUAAGUGCUUUGCAGGAACUCAAAGUGGAACAAGCUAAAAUGUAGAAGAGAUAAACCUCGGACACUAUUAAUUUAUUGGGUACAAUUGAAUGAUUGAAGAGUGUAAUCUUUGAGUUAAAUUAUUAUUUAAAAAGUUAUAUGGUUACAGGACUUUUUUUUCCUCCCUUUGUUGAGACUCUACAUUGCCGAUUAGUACAAUGGUUGGCAAUUCCGUAUAUCUUGUUUUCUGAAACUGAUUUUUGAUAUUGGUUGAAAUAAACAAUUUUGAU